rnacentral:rRNA from 1 species
AGUGAACGCUGGCGGUAGGCCUAACACAUGCAAGUCGAACGGCAGCACAGUAAGAGCUUGCUCUUACGGGUGGCGAGUGGCGGACGGGUGAGGAAUACAUCGGAAUCUACUUUUUCGUGGGGGAUAACGUAGGGAAACUUACGCUAAUACCGCAUACGACCUACGGGUGAAAGCAGUGGAUCUUCGGACCUUUCGCGAUUGAAUGAGCCGAUGUCGGAUUAGCUAGUUGGCGUGGUAAAGGCCCACCAAGGCGACGAUCCGUAGCUGGUCUGAGAGGAUGAUCAGCCACACUGGAACUGAGACACGGUCCAGACUCCUACGGGAGGCAGCAGUGGGGAAUAUUGGACAAUGGGCGCAAGCCUGAUCCAGCCAUACCGCGUGGGUGAAGAAGGCCUUCGGGUUGUAAAGCCCUUUUGUUGGGAAAGAAAAGCAGCAGGUUAAUACCCCGCUGUUCUGACGGUACCCAAAGAAUAAGCACCGGCUAACUUCGUG